UGUAGCCACCCUUGAUCCAAACAGGCCUAGGAGAAAUGAGCAAACAGUUGCUAGGCAAGGUACUUAUAUGAUAACUCCUUGUAAUUUCUCCAUAUGUGAUAAAUUGACCUGGGUAUUGGAUACCGGAAGUUCUUAUAAUAUUUGCAAUCCAUUACAGGGACUGCAGGUCAAUAAGAGAUUUGAGGAUAAUGAGAGGUUCCUGAAUGUUGGAGAUGGAAGGACUGUUCCAGUUCUAGCAUUGGGAGAUCUUAAGUUAGUUUUCAAUUCUCAUGUAAUCGCCUUAAGUGACU
rnacentral:lncRNA from 1 species